UUGGCUUAGUUAGAUUGGAUCUAUAUACAUGCUUAGGAUCGUAUAGCGUUUAUCCAUCAGAUCCAUGGGUAAAUGAUAGAUAUUGUGUAGGUGUGGUGCUUAUACCGUAUUUAUCUGCGAUUGUACCCAAUAUGCCAGAUCGUGGGGUGGUUCGUGAUAGUGACAGCUUCAUUGAUUCUUAUAUAGUCCCCCUCUCGUGUAUUAGGC
rnacentral:lncRNA from 1 species